CAGCUGAGAAUGACAUAACAGCUUACCCAUAGAAGACAUUCUGUCUCUGUACAAUUGCAAACCAGUGGCAUCUUACCCUCAUAAUCAUGUUAAGGGCAACAUUGUUCACCCAUUCUCCCUCUCUUAUCAUCCAUUUUCUAUGCUCAGUUCAUUCAAAGCAGUAGACCACUCAAGAAAACACACCCAGGUACUGAAACGCUGGAUCAAGGAACACAGUAAACAGGAGGUCUCUCCAGUAACUGAGA